rnacentral:rRNA from 1 species
AUUGAACGCUGGCGGCAUGCUUUACACAUGCAAGUCGAACGGUAACAGGCCGCACGGUGCUGACGAGUGGCGAACGGGCGAGUAAUGCACCGGAACGUGCCCAGUCGUGGGGGAUAACGCAGCGAAAGCUGCGCUAAUACCGCAAACGAUCUCUGGAUGAAAGCGCGGGACGGAAAGGCCUCGCGCUAUUGCAGCCGCCGGGGUCCGAUUAGGUAGUUGGUGGGGUAAAGGCCCACCAAGCCAACGAUCUGUAGCUGGUCUGAGAGGACGACCAGCCACACUGGGACUGAGACACGGCCCAGACUCCUACGGGAGGCAGCAGUGGGGAAUAUUGGACAAUGGGCGCAAGCCUGAUCCAGCAAUGCCGCGUGCAGGAAGAAGGCCUUCGGGUUGUAAACUGCUUUUGUACGGAACGAAACGGUCCGGGUUAAUACCCUGGGCUAAUGACGGUACCGUAAGAAUAAGCACCGGCUAACUACGUGCCAGCCGCCGCCGUAACAC